GGCGUUAAUCAACUUGUAUAGAUCAUUAAGGUUUUGGGAACACCACCAACAAAGGGAAGAAAUAUAUCAAAUGCAUUCAAUACUGUCCCAGUCUCCGUUCUCGAUACAUUGGUCCACCCGUUCUUUGAUGAGCUUAGAGAUCCCCUAAUGCACGUUUCUUUCCUUCCACCACUAUUCAACUUCAAGCCUCAUGAGCUUAAAGGUGUGCGCGUGCCCGUGGAGAUAAUGGCUAAGUUAGUACCUGAACAUGCAGAGGAAGCAGGGUCCAUGGCUCGGUUUGUGAUUUUAUCUGCUGUUAACUUGAUUUUCUUUUCUCUUGGGCUUUGAACAUUCUCAUAUUACUAUUAUUACAUUAUGAAUAUUGUAUAUUUCUUUUGUUAUCAUACAAUUAGUACCCAAUUAGCUCCUUUAUACAGUUGGGAUGGUAAAAAGCCUUUAAAAUUUUGAAUCUACCAGGCUCGGUCUAAGAUCUCAGGUAACAGAUUAUCUGCAUCUUGGAAGGGAUCAAACUCUGGUGUAUUGAUAGAUUAGUCACUAGUCAAAUCCAAUCAGGUUUAAACUCAUGAUGCAGUAAUAGUCAAAACUUUAUAAAACCAUACAUACGAGUAUAUAAACCCCUCAACGGGUGAAAAACAA